rnacentral:rRNA from 1 species
AGGGCACCACCAGGAGUGGAGCCUGCGGCUUAAUUUGACUCAACACGGGAAAACUCACCCGGCCCGGACACUGGAAGGAUUGACAGAUUGAGAGCUCUUUCUUGAUUCAGUGGGUGGUGGUGCAUGGCCGUUCUUAGUUGGUGGAGUGAUUUGUCUGGUUAAUUCCGAUAACGAACGAGACUCUAGCCUAUUAAAUAGAUCGUUGGCUUACAAACGCCGGCGAGACUCCUUAGAGGGACAGGCGGCGAUUCAGCCGCACGAAACAGAGCAAUAACAGGUCUGUGAUGCCCUUAGAUGUCCGGGGCCGCACGCGCGCUACACUGAAGUGAUCAGCGUGCAUUUUGAAACCUACUCUGUCAAGAGUGGGGAACCCAAUGAACCUUCUUCGUGAUUGGGAUAGGGGAUUGUAAUUAUUCCCCUUGAACGAGGAAUUCCCAGUAAGCGCGAAUCAUAAGUUUGCGCUGAUUACGUCCCUGCCCUUUGUACACACCGCCCGUCGCUACUACCGAUUGAAUGUUU